rnacentral:tRNA from 1 species
CCCUGACUAGCUCGGUUGAUAGAGCAUGAGACUCAUAAUUUCAGCGUAGUGGGUUCAUGUCCCACUUCGGGCA